rnacentral:lncRNA from 1 species
CAUUCAAGGAGAAGAGAUGAAUAGCAUUGACGUCAUUUACAUUGUAAUGCUUGUUAUAGUGCGACCUUUAGCAAUACAAUGGGCAGAUUAGGGCUUUUUAUAAAUCUGAAAUGAAAAGAAUUUGAAUCUAUAUAUUAUCUGUGACACCCUUUGCACACUGCGCACAACUACCUCAGUCUCUCAAACUUGGCGGUAUCAGGUUCAGUUCUUACUCAAAGAAUUUGCUGUGAAACUUCUGUCAUCAUUCAUCAGGGAAGAUGCAGCGUGUUCUUGUAAUAUUGAUCAUUUCUAUGAUUCUUGUGGCUGGUGUUGUGGAAGGAGCAGAAGGGGAAAAGCUUGUCACAAGGCGUCGUCGUCGUUCGUUUGUCCUUGUGAGAAAAAGCAGAGACGUGCCUGGGGAAAUGUCAUCGCUGAAAGUGAAGAAGGAAGAGAAAAACCAGCUCAAGGAGGAGGAUUUGGAAGAAAAAUAAAGGCCACACCAUCAGACGACCUGUGUGUAGCUUUCAAAAUAGUAUUAAUAUAAUAACAAUGUCUUCCAUAGCGAAAGUAUCAGCCUUCUAGGCACUCAUUUGGCUUGCUCCAAGAUUCUUGUAUGAUACAUGUAAUCUGGUAAACUCAUGGCCCGAAUUCACAAAGCAAGGUUUGAGCUCAGACCAAGGUUUGAGCUCAAACCUCCUUUUGUUUCGCCAAACCUCCUUUUGUUCUUUACAAACCAGGUUUGUAAAAAACGCGUAAAACGCGUCAUAUGACGUACGAAAACCAAGGUUUGUCGACAAACCUCCUUUGUGAAUUCGGGCCUGUAGGUUUACUGCUUGUGAUACAAUUAAAACAAUAUCGAAUAGUGCAAGAAGUAGUUUGCAGUGUUCAGUCAAUACAUUAACCAUGUUAAUUAUGGAUCACAUUUACCGUCUUAAAUAACAUAUCAAUUUUUAUUUCCUUAUAAUGGUUUAGUAUUGUUAUGUAUUGGCAAAUGCAUUUUUGUUAUUUAUUUUUUAUUUGUAUAAUUCAGCCUAGACUGUGAGACAGAUUAAUGUUAUACAAUUAAAUUAAAAUACCAUUAAAUACAUAUUUAUUUGACAAGCACAUCAGAAUGGCUAGUUCUUUUCAAGUUGAAGAGAUGUGUCUUUCCAUGGUAAAAGCUGCUCGGACACAAAAUGGAAGGUCAUUCCAAACCUUUGCGGCAGGCACUAGGAAUGAACAUUCACCCAUCUGUCUAUCUUUUCUGCUCUUUCUCUUUCUUCACUAUAUAUAUAUAUAUCUUUCUCACUCUCUCUCUCUUUCUCUUUUAACCUCUUUUCUCUAUACAUCACUCCCUUAUCUCUUCCUCACUUUCAUAUUUUAUUUCAGUACAUAUUCCUCAUUUUCUUCUUGCUCGUAUUUUUGUUUUUAUUUUGCAUUUGGUACAAUAUUAAGGAUAAACGUGUGAUAUAUACGUGCACUUAUGUAAAUGAUACUGUUUUAAAUGGCACAGUUGUUUUUUAAAUGCAAUGUAUAUCCACGUGCAAUUCAAUAUAUGUAACCGCGAUGCAUGAUUCAAUAAAUACAAUACCAGACGACACCAUGUAA